rnacentral:rRNA from 1 species
GAGUUUGAUCCUGGCUCAGCCUGAACGCUGGCGGCGUGGCUAAGACAUGCAAGUCGCACGGGGUAGCAAUACCCAGUGGCGAACGGGUGAGUAAUGAAUCGCUAAUGUACCCCGGACUCUGGGAUAGCCGGCCGAAAGGCCGGGUAAUACCAGAUGAUAUAACCCCUCCGCAUGGAGGGGUUCUCAAAGGUCCGCCGGUCUGGGAGCAGGCGAUUUCGUAUCAGCUAGUUGGUGAGGUAACGGCUCACCAAGGCGACGACGCGUAGCCGGACUGAGAGGUUGGCCGGCCACAUUGGGACUGAGACACUGCCCAGACUCCUACGGGGGGCUGCAGUAACGAAUCUUCCGCAAUGUACGCAAGUAUGACGGAGCGACGCCGCGUGUAGGAUGAAGCCCUUCGGGGUGUAAACUACUGUCAGGGGUUAGAAAGUUCUGAUCGACCCCAGAGGAAGGCACGGCUAACUCUGUGCCAGCAGCCGCGGUAAGACAGAGGUGCCAAGCGUUAGGCGGAAUCACUGGGCUUAAAGCGUGUGUAGGCGGACUCCUAAGUACUUUGUGAAAUCCCACGGCUCAACCGUGGAACUGCUUGGUAUACUGGGAGUCUUGAGCCAGCUAGGGGCUACCGGAACAAAUGGUGGAGCGGUGAAAUGCGUAGAUAUCAUUUGGAACGCCAAUGGUGAAAACAGGUAGCUGGGGCUGUGCUGACGCUGAGACACGAAAGCCAGGGGAGCGAACGGGAUUAGAUACCCCGGUAGUCCUGGCCCUAAACGAUGUCCACUAGAUCGUAGUCGCUCUGACGUGAUUAUGGUCGAAGCAAAAGUGCUAAGUGGACCGCCUGGGAAGUACGGUCGCAAGGCUAAAACUCAAAGGAAUUGACGGGGGCUCACACAAGCGGUGGAGCAUGUGGUUUAAUUCGAUGAUACGCGAGGAACCUUACCUGGGUUAGAAUGUCAGUGGAUCGUGGGUGAAAGCUCAUUUUGUAGCAAUACACCGCUGAUAAGGUGCUGCAUGGCUGUCGUCAGCUCGUGUCGUGAGAUGUUGGGUUAAGUCCCGCAACGAGCGCAACCCUCGCCCUUAGUUGCCAUCAUUUAGUUGGGCACUCUAAGGGGACUGCCGGUGAUAAGCCGGAGGAAGGUGGGGAUGACGUCAAGUCAGCAUGGCCUUUAUGUCUGGGGCUACACACGUGCUACAAUGGCAGAUACAAACCGUCGCGAGACCGCAAGGUGGAGCUAAUCGGAGAAAGUCUGUCUCAGUUCGGAUCGUAGGCUGCAACUCGCCUGCGUGAAGUUGGAAUCGCUAGUAAUCGCGGAUCAGCACGCCGCGGUGAUACGUUCCCGGGCCUUGUACACAC